rnacentral:rRNA from 1 species
GACGAACGCUGGCGGCGUGCUUAACACAUGCAAGUCGAACGGAAAGGCCCUGCUUUUGUGGGGUGCUCGAGUGGCGAACGGGUGAGUAACACGUGAGUAACCUGCCCUUGACUUUGGGAUAACUUCAGGAAACUGGGGCUAAUACCGGAUAGGAGCUCCUGCUGCAUGGUGGGGGUUGGAAAGUUUCGGCGGUUGGGGAUGGACUCGCGGCUUAUCAGCUUGUUUUUGGGGUAGUGGCUUACCAAGGCUUUGACGGGUAGCCGGCCUGAGAGGGUGACCGGCCAAAUUGGGACUGAGAUACGGGCCAGACUACUACGGGAGGCAGCAGUGGGGAAUAUUGCACAAUGGGCGGAAGCCAGAUGCAGCAAAGCCGCGUGCGGGAUGACGGCCUUCGGGUUGUAAACCGCUUUCGCCUGUGACGAAGCGUGAGUGACGGUAAUGGGUAAAGAAGCACCGGCUAACUACGUG